rnacentral:rRNA from 1 species
GAUGAACGCUGGCGGCGUGCCUAAUACAUGCAAGUCGAGCGAACAGAUAAGGAGCUUGCUCCUUUGACGUUAGCGGCGGACGGGUGAGUAACACGUGGGUAACCUACCUAUAAGACUGGAAUAACUCCGGGAAACCGGGGCUAAUGCCGGAUAACAUUUAGAACCGCAUGGUUCUAAAGUGAAAGAUGGUUUUGCUAUCACUUAUAGAUGGACCCGCGCCGUAUUAGCUAGUUGGUAAGGUAACGGCUUACCAAGGCAACGAUACGUAGCCGACCUGAGAGGGUGAUCGGCCACACUGGAACUGAGACACGGUCCAGACUCCUACGGGAGGCAGCAGCAGGGAAUCUUCCGCAAUGGGCGAAAGCCUGACGGAGCAACGCCGCGUGAGUGAUGAAGGUCUUCGGAUCGUAAAACUCUGUUAUUAGGGAAGAACAAAUGUGUAAGUAACUGUGCACGUCUUGACGGUACCUAAUCAGAAAGCCACGGCUAACUACGUG